rnacentral:sRNA from 1 species
AAGAAGAAAGAAAACUCU